rnacentral:rRNA from 1 species
GCUUGCACCCAUUUGCUACUCUCGUCUGAUCUCGGAAGCUAAGCAGGGUCAGGCUUGGUCAGUACUUCAAUGGGAGACCGCCUGGGAAUACCAGGUGCUGUAAGCU